CUGCUGCUUGUCUGGAGUUUCCCUUGGCCUUUCCCUUGAUGGCUGAGACGGUGACAUCUCAGUGCCAGAGGGACUUCCCAUGGCCUUCUUCUGAGUGCAGGAGUGGUUGGGGUUUCAGUUCAGGUUCUUCUUGUUUCCCAUCAGUCCUUUGCGCAAUUCUGCUCUUCCUUCCAGCACUUUGAUUUCACUUCUGGAAAAAAACUGGAAGGUGAUCUCCCCAGUUCAUGUGAGAGUGACCUACUUCCUUGUGUUGAUCAUUGGAAAAAAACAUCAUGGCUCCUGUUGACAUCUCGUAUCAAGGCCAUUUCCCAAGGCAUUCUGUGCAUUGCUUCCGGCUCAGAUUCCAGGGGUUCAGUUGCCCAAUUACUCUUGGAAGGGGAUAUAAAGGAGGUGCGCAGAGCUGGAGCUUCACUCACUGCUGCCUCGCCAUGAAGACCUCAACUGGCUGCAUCGUCCUCCUUGCUCUCCUGGCCAUCUCUGCCCUGACUCCCGCUGUCUAUGGGAAAGGAAAGCCUGGGAAAUGCCCAACUCCACCUCCAGGCACCAUUACAACAUGUGAUAUCAAGUGCCACUCAGAUCGCGAGUGUUCUGGACGCGAGAAGUGUUGCAAGUGGGGAUGUGGACAGAUGUGCCGUCCUCCUGUC